CCGGAUCGGGCUUCCGGUGGCUCUCUCGGCAUCCCGCUCCGACCGAGUCAGGAGAUUGUGGUUCUCUGAUCCGGAUGGGUACAUGUGGGAACUGGACGGCCCCAGUCCGCCCCCAGGCUCGGAAGGGA
rnacentral:SRP_RNA from 15 species